UCGAGGGGAUCGGCUCGCCCUCGGACCCGAAGUUGGCGAUGUGCCGGCACACGUCCUUGGCGACCUCGUUGACCUCGCCCACCGAGAGCCCCGCCGUGACGAGCCGCGUCGCCUGGUGGGUCUG
rnacentral:SRP_RNA from 12 species